rnacentral:lncRNA from 1 species
GUAUAUGUUGGCUGCAGUAGGUUCAUUGUAGGAAUAGGAUGUACACCUAUAUGGGAUCUAGCGAUCCUGAUAGUUAGAAUGAAGUCCAAUGAGGAUUAUGAAACUGAAUUCGAAAGUCCAUGGCCAUGGCAAGUGUGAAUGAUGGAAAAAAAAUUUUAUGAGAAUUCACUAAGAACUCAGAUUGAUUGAAUCUUACAUAUGACAAGAUCAAGUUGAUGAGUUAUCCAUUACC